UGCAGAUGGCUGAAGUCUUCUUUGGUGUUGGUUGUGCUCUCACUGUCAUCCCAACACUCUAUGUACCUGCAAAUAUCUUGGAUUAACAACAAAACCUGUGAGAAAAUAAUGGCUUGUUUGGCAUAGGGAGUUCUGACUGUGGCCCUCAAAGGAAGAAAAUGUCAUCACAGCAUAUGUUUCCAGAAAUCUCAAAAUCAGCAAAAGGACAUGAAGAAACAACGUGAACAUGCUGCUGUUCUCAAGGUUGAUGGGCUUGACUGUUUCAGAUAGCAGAAAUUAGGAUGCAAGAAUGGCUGUGGCCUCACAGAGAGAAUGCUCAGUGAGCUUCUUGUGGAGCUGUGCCUGGGAGCUGGAGGAUGCUUUUGCUGGAAUAUCAGCUAAGAAUUGCUUUAAAAGGCAAAGAUAGUGAGGAAGGAGGAAAAAUAAAAUUAAGCCUUGUACACACCUAGGAUUUAAUAUUUGUUUGAAAAUCAGGAAAGAUGACUCAGGUCUAAAGGCCCUGUCCCUGCACAGCAAUGCUGAAAGGCAAAGAAAGCAAAAAAAAAAAAAGGAAUGAAUGUUGAUUGGCAAGUAUUUAAUAUGUGAGAUUCUGGUUUUGUUGUCAAAAUAUCUGGAUAGCUACACUAGCCGCUGUUGCUCCGUGUUAUAGUUUCAGCUCUCUGGAGGAAACCUUUUAGGCAGAAAAUGCCAAGGUGGUAGAAGUUUCAACAGACGAAGGAUGAACAAAUGGGAGGGGAGGCAGGAAUGGGGGACAGGGUUGUUUAACAUGUGCUGACAGAACUAACGUGGCAUGUGAAACCCACAUUUCAGUACCUGUCCUGAAGCCUCUGGUUGCCAUCAAGAAUGUACCUAAGACCUAAUUUUUGUCUAGACAAGCAGUGAAGACCAGCAGCUGUGAUUUCCUUAACAGUUCAUGCUACCAUAGCACUCCACUGCAUUAUUCAUGUUUUCCUGACGCAUGAAAUAUUUGGUGUCAAGUCCAGAACAUCUUUCAAUUUAAAAAGAGAGAAAAAAAAUUAGAAUGAGAGGGAGAGAGAGAGAGAAAGACAAGAAAAGGUCUUGUGCAGAGCUGUCAUUAAUUGUGUUGGUAUAACUGGCAGCAUGACUAGGGAUCUUGAAUUCCUUCCAGAAAUAAAACCAGAGCAGUUCCCUUUUUGCUUCUUUGUUCUUCUUCUGCCUCUAUGUUGUUUGGCUUCUUAAGGUGUUGCUGAAGAUUUAAGGAUGUCCUUGAAUCUCCAUUCUUGACUAUUAGAUUAAAACUCCUCCAGAUGAGGGUGUUUUUCAGAGUGUCACUGGGUCUUUGGCUCCAGGCAAUGCUGUUUUGUGCCACAUUUCUGAUGUUCUCCAACUUAAUGCCUUUACACAACCCUUUGGCACAUUCUUUAUUUUCCUUUCUUCCUGACAAAUCUUCCAACUUCUCUUUCUCUGUAGGCUUCAAAAAUUAAUGUUGCACAUUGUAGCCUAUAUGAUACCUAUGCAUGCCUGCCCUAACAACUGGGCUCUUGAAUUAUAUUUAUCCCUUAUUUGGCCAUUUGGUUCUUCCCUGCUGAUCAGCUGUCAAAUAAAAACGCUCUCACUGUGCAUG